GGCGCACAGGCCAUCGAGCUUCUGUUUCUGGGACCUUCUCUUUUCUCUACUUUUCUUUCGGUGUGGCUCUCAUCUUCUGCUGAUUUGGUCCUUGGAGAGGAGUCUUCAGUAGUUCUGCACUGGACGGGAUAUCCGUGGGUGCAGAGAUUCUGGGUCCAGUCGCAUUCUCGGCUGAGGGUGCUGGGAUCUGGACCUAGGAUGGAGGAGCAAGGAAGGACCUGCUGACCGCAGGCAAGAUGUUCAGGUUGGGUAAUCAGCAUGUUUGUCAGCACCUGGCAGCCUCCAGUUGGGUCCAGUGCAGCUAUGAGUGCUCUGCCUUCUUUUGGACCUGGGGUUUCAGUACAUAGAAAGUGCCAUACUGUCCAGUGAAGAGGCUGUGCUGCUAGAUUUAAACAGUGUCUCAAGCUAUUGCUGUAACUUAUCUUCAUUUGCUGGCCGGAAAGACAUUCAGGGAAAGAGGAAGAGAUGGUAGUUUCUUGGGCCUGUAUAUAAACAAGAAAGACAAACAAGCAAACAUGCAGUGGACAUCGCAAGUAGCUGACCAGUGCCAUUCUCCCUCUCUCCCCUACAUGUGUGUGUGAGAGUGAGUGCAUGCUCUUACAUUCAUUCUAUAUAAAACCUACAGCUGAAAACAAUGAAUCCCAUAAAGCAAAAAUUACAGACACAUAUAAGUACUUGCUUCCUUCUUUCCUGUCUGGCUGGAAUUUGUCCCCAGAGCUUUAGAGUUGGCCACGUGUUAAAAAUCCAUAAAUCUCAGUGCUGAGAGCAUAAUGAAGGGAAAAUACAAUUCUGUUGUAGUCAAAGUUGAAUGUGUAUCUGAACGAUUCUUUGUAUUAAUUUCUUUAAGGUCUGUACUUAAUUUCUUGGAAUGCAUUUAAAAUAA